UCGCGAGAGGUCUGGUUGAAGGCCCGAGCUUCCAAGUUCUUUUUACAAUACUUAGAAAAAUUGAAGGACUGCUGCAAUAAGUGUGUUAAUCUGAUAGAGGAAUAAUUGA